GAGUUUGAUCUUGGCUCAGAUUGAACGCUGGCGGCAUGCCUUACACAUGCAAGUCGAACGGCAGCACGGGAGCUUGCUCCUGGUGGCGAGUGGCGAACGGGUGAGUAAUGCAUCGGAGCGUAUCCUGGAGUGGGGGAUAACGUAGCGAAAGUUACGCUAAUACCGCAUAUUCUGUGAGCAGGAAAGCGGGGGACCUUCGGGCCUCGCGCUCUUGGAGCGGCCGAUGUCGGAUUAGCUAGUUGGUGAGGUAAAGGCUCACCAAGGCGACGAUCCGUAGCAGGUCUGAGAGGAUGAUCUGCCACACUGGAACUGAGACACGGUCCAGACUCCUACGGAGGCAGCAGUGGGGAAUUUUGGACAAUGGGGGCAACCCUGAUCCAGCCAUGCCGCGUGAGUGAAGAAGG
rnacentral:rRNA from 1 species